GGCAGAAAAACGAACGAAAUUACAAUUUGAGAUCAAGGGAGGUUUCGUACCAAGUGGGCCAAGAGGUGUUCCGGAGGAACUUUAAGCAGAGCAACUUCCAGGCUGGCUAUAGUGCCAAACUGGGCCCAGCCUAUGUGAAGGCCAGAAUCCGCAAGAAGAUAGGUAGUGCUUAUUAUGAGUUGGAGGAUCUACAAGGACGGUCUAUUGGGCGAUACCACGCGAAAGACUUAAAACAAUAGCUGAUCCGCGCAGUUUGGAUCCGACUUGUGUGAUACCACUAAGUCAGAUCUUCGGCGGGGGGUAUUUGUAACGCUUGGAUCAGCGAGAGAGCUAGUUCGCAGCGCCAUCUAGUGGUCGGCACCGUAAGGGCCGUGGUAGACCAAACACCCUCUAUGGGCUAGGUCGGGGAGAUCACGAAAAGUGGCAUAGGAAGAGUGAUAGAGUUAACAGCUUGGAUUGUCAACUUUCUCUGGCAUUUCACCCUGUCCUUUGAGAGGGCCCGAGGGCUGUAGCUUGUUGAGGGGCUUGGCUUCGGUCUCUUCCCGUUUUGGCGCUCGACCAGAGCGUUCGUUUUCUCUGUCAACAGCCAACAAGUAUUUUUUUAUAAGUGCUAAAAAGGGAAAAAACGUGUAAUCGCGGCGGGAGGAGAAGAGCUUCAGCAUUCCGGCAUUAGUUUUCCAGCCUAGGACCGGCCAUUGGCGCAGUGGAUACCGCAAAGGAGGAGCGCCGCAUCGCCGUAUUUUCUUUGCAAAGCGGCCCGGAUCAGCUUCGCGGAUCCAAAGACGCGAGGCGUCGAGGAGAUCGAGCGUCCAAGGGACGCCAGAAGGGGUCCAGAGGAGCAGCCAAAGCAGCGUUGGGAAAAAUUGCAGGCCCAAGUACACGGGCACCGACGCCACGCUAGCGGGAGUUGAGUGGUUUUUGGGGAAGAAGGAAAAAAAAAACUCAAUCGUCUUGUUGAAAAGCGAGCCAAGGCAGGGAUAUAUAGCGCAGCUAGAGCGAAAGCAAGAGCAGUCCGAGAUCUGGCGGGGUCUUUCGAGUGGUCUCGCGAGUGAUUUUUAUCGUCGGGAACCGUCCCAGGGAACGAUGGAGUGAUUUCGGAAGGGAGAAAAUCUAAAACUAAAAGAAACCGGGAAUGGCUGAGAUCUCUAGUAAUAAUAGGAUUCAGUGUUAAGUGAUUAGUGUUAAUAAUUUAAUGAGUUAAGUAAUAUUUCUUUGUUAGUUUUUUUGUGCGUUAAAGUCUGCGACAGUCGGCGAAGGGCAGGCGAAAGAAAA